rnacentral:ribozyme from 11 species
AGAAGAAGGGACAAAAGGAAGGGCCAUACUUGGUUGUUAACCAAUUUUCAUAUUGUUAGUUUUUAGUAUUAUUUCUGCAGCCUUUCUUUACCUUUUGUGUGAUUUUU